AGCGUGUGGUUUAAUUCGUUGCUACACGAAGAACCUUACCUGGGUUUGACAUUAUAGGUUGUAGGGAACUGAAAGGGACGACCCUUCGGGAGCCUAUACAGGUGUUGCAUGGCUGUCGUCAGCUCGUGUCGUGAGAUGUUCGGUUAAGUCCGCUAACGAGCGCAACCCUCGUCGUAUGUUAUAUGUGUCAUACGAGACUGCCGGUAAAAGCCGGAGGAAGGUGAGGAUGAUGUCAAGUCAGCAUGACCUUUAUAUCCAGGGCUACACACACGCUACAAUGGUCUGUACAAUGGGUAGCCAAGCCGCGAGGCGGAGCCAAUCCUGAAAAGCAGGCCUCAGUUCAGAUUGCAGUCUGCAACUCGACUGCAUGAAGCCGGAGUUGCUAGUAACCGCAGGUCAGCAAUACUGCGGUGAAUACGUUCCCGGGUCUU
rnacentral:rRNA from 1 species